GACGGAGGGUGCUAGCGUUGUUCGGAAUCACUGAGCGUAAAGGGCGCGUAGGCGGCCUCAGGUGUCGGAUGUGAAAGCCCCGGGCUCAACCCGGGAAGUGCACUCGAAACUGGGAGGCUAGAGUAUCGGAGAGGUUGGUGGAAUUCUCGGUGUAGAGGUGAAAUUCGUAGAUAUCGAGAGGAACACCGGUGGCGAAGGCGGCCAACUGGACGAAUACUGACGCUGAGACUCGAAAGCGUGGGUAGCAAACAGG
rnacentral:rRNA from 1 species